CUUCAAUUCCUCUUUCACUCCCUGAUUUGUAGUUAGAUACUAAGUUGUUCCCACACAGAGCUCAGAGAUCUGCAGAAAAGCCAUGGCUGUCCGACAGCAGCCCACCCAGGUGAUGACAACUGCCAGUGCUGGGCAGUGGACCACCGGCCUUUGUGAAUGUUGUGUUGAUAUGGAGACCUGUUGCUGUGGCUUUUGGUGUUUCCCCUGCAUGCAGUGUGAUGCAGCCAGUAAACAUGGAUGGUGCUGCGCACUGCCACUGCUGGAUGUUUGUGGUGUGGUGUCCUGCUUACUCCGUGGGUCCAUCAGAGAGCGCCACAACAUUGUUGGCUCGUUCUGUGAUGACUGCUGUAAAGUGUGCUGGUGUUACCCGUGCGUUUGGUGCCAGAUGCAUCGCGAGCUGAAGAUCAGGCAGUAAUAGCAGCCCGCCACCUCGACUGCUGCCAGCACGCAGGUCGUCUGUGGAUGCAAACAUUUCGGCUGUGUGUUGAGAGCCUAUGUCACUGCUGAAGAAAAAUGCUUUAAAUUUGUUGUCAUAUUAAUGUGUCGAAUCCUAUUUGACUUUUUCAGGCCAAUAAAAUCCUUUAAUUUUAUACAA